rnacentral:piRNA from 1 species
UUCCUUCAGUCUCCGCUUCAAACUUUGUCUU